rnacentral:miRNA from 1 species
UACAGAGGGACUGUGGUGGAGAAGGAGACAAAGAAAGGGGUUGGGGUAAGAAAGAGACACAGAAAGGCGCUAGGGGUAAGCCCCUAGCCCAUUACUGUGUCUCUUUCUUACCCCAGCCCCUUUCUUUGUCUCCUUCUCCACCACAGUCCCUAGUGUG